ACGUAGGUCACAAGCGUUGUCCGGAAUUACUGGGUGUAAAGGGAGCGCAGGCGGGAAGACAAGUUGGAAGUGAAAUCCAUGGGCUUAACCCAUGAACUGCUUUCAAAACUGUUUUUCUUGAGUAGUGCAGAGGUAGGCGGAAUUCCCGGUGUAGCGGUGGAAUGCGUAGAUAUCGGGAGGAACACCAGUGGCGAAGGCGGCCUACUGGGCACCAACUGACGCUGAGGCUCGAAAGUGUGGGUAGCAAACAG
rnacentral:rRNA from 1 species